GCCAGAGUGGCGAAACUGGUAGACGCGGCGGACUCAAAAUCCGCUGGGCCUUGCGCCCUUGAGAGUUCGAGUCUCUCCUCUGGCA
rnacentral:tRNA from 1 species